UACGGAGGGUGCAAGCGUUGCUCGGAAUUAUUGGGCGUAAAGGGCAGGUAGGUGGUCUCAUUUGUCGGGGGUGAAAGCCUUGGGCUUAACUCAAGAAGUGCCCCCGAAACGGUGAGACUGGAGUCCGGGAGAGGGAAGUGGAGUUCCUGGUGUAGAGGUGAAAUUCGUAGAUAUCAGGAGGAACACCGGUGGCGAAGGCGGCUUCCUGGACCGAUACUGACGCUGAGACGCGAAAGCGUGGGGAGCAAAC
rnacentral:rRNA from 1 species